rnacentral:rRNA from 1 species
GAUGAACGCUGGCGGCGUGCCUAAUACAUGCAAGUCGAGCGAACAGACGAGGAGCUUGCUCCUUUGACGUUAGCGGCGGACGGGUGAGUAACACGUAGGUAACCUACCUAUAAGACUGGGAUAACUUCGGGAAACCGGAGCUAAUACCGGAUAAUAUUUCGAACCGCAUGGUUCGAUAGUGAAAGAUGGCUUUGCUAUCACUUUAGAUGGACCUGCGCCGUAUUAGCUAGUUGGUAAGGUAACGGCUUACCAAGGCAACGAUACGUAGCCGACCUGAGAGGGUGAUCGGCCACACUGGAACUGAGACACGGUCCAGACUCCUACGGGAGGCAGCAGUAGGGAAUCUUCCGCAAUGGGCGAAAGCCUGACGGAGCAACGCCGCGUGAGUGAUGAAGGUCUUCGGAUCGUAAAACUCUGUUAUUAGGGAAGAACAAACGUGUAAGUAACUGUGCACGUCUUGACGGUACCUAAUCAGAAAGCCACGGCUAACUACGUG